GACAGAGGGGGCAAGCGUUGUUCGGAAUUACUGGGCGUAAAGGGCGCGUAGGCGGCCCGUCAAGUCCCGUGUGAAAGCCCCCGGCUCAACCGGGGAACGGCGCGGGAAACUAGCAGGCUUGAGUUCGGGAGAGGGAAGCGGAAUUCCGGGUGUAGCGGUGAAAUGCGCAGAUAUCCGGAGGAACACCGGUGGCGAAGGCGGCUUCCUGGACCGACACUGACGCUGAGGCGCGAAAGCUAGGGGAGCAAACGGG
rnacentral:rRNA from 1 species